rnacentral:rRNA from 1 species
UACGGGGGGGGCAAGCGUUGUUCGGAAUUACUGGGCGUAAAGGGCUCGUAGGCGGCCAACUAAGUCGGACGUGAAAUCCCUCGGCUUAACCGGGGAACUGCGUCCGAUACUGGAUGGCUUGAGUUCGGGAGAGGGAUGCGGAAUUCCAGGUGUAGCGGUGAAAUGCGUGAGAUAUCUGGAGGACACCGGUGGCGAAGGCGGCAUCCGUGGACCGACGACUGACGCGUGACGGAGCGAAAGCCAGGGGAGC